GGCCAGCAGCGCGGUAAUACCGGCAGCUCAAGUGAUGUCCCAUAUUAUUGGGCCUAAAGCGUCCGUAGCUGGCCGACCAAGUCUCCCGGGAAAUCCACCCGCCCAACGGGUGGGCGUCCGGUAGAAACUGGCCGGCUUGGAACCGGAAGGCUCAGAGAGUACGUCCGGGGUAGGAGUGAAAUCCCGUAAUCCCGGACGGACCACCGAUGGCGAAAGCAUCGCGAGAAAACGGAUCCGACAGUGAGGGACGAAAGCUAGGGUCUCGAACCGGAUUAGAUACCCCGGUAGUCC
rnacentral:rRNA from 1 species